rnacentral:rRNA from 2 species
AAAUGACUCUCGGCAACGGAUAUCUCGGCUCUCGCAUCGAUGAAGAACGUAGCAAAAUGCGAUACGUGGUGUGAAUUGCAGAAUUCCGUGAACCAUCGAGUUUUUGAACGCAAGUUGCGCCCGAAGCCAUUCGGCCGAGGGCACGUCUGCCUGGGCGUCACGC